rnacentral:rRNA from 1 species
GGCUUGUAGUCAUAUGCUUGUCUCAAAGAUUAAGCCAUGCAUGUCUAAGUAUAAGCAACUAUACGGUGAAACUGCGAAUGGCUCAUUAAAUCAGAUAUCGUUUAUUUGAUAGUACCUUACUACAUGGAUAACCGUGGUAAUUCUAGAGCUAAUACAUGCUAAAAACCUCGACUUCGGAAGUGGUGUAUUUAUUAGAUAAAAAACCAAUGCCCUUCGGAGCUCCUUGGUGAAUCAUAAUAACUUAACGAAUCGCAUGGCCUUGCGCCGGCGACGGUUCAUUCAAAUUUCUGCCCUAUCAACUUUCGAUGGUAGGAUAGUGGCCUACCAUGGUAUCAACGGGUAACGGGGAAUUAGGGUUCGACUCCGGAGAGGGAGCCUGAGAAACGGCUACCACAUCCAAGGAAGGCAGCAGGCGCGCAAAUUACCCAAUCCCGACACGGGGAGGUAGUGACAAUAAAUACUGAUACAGGGCUCUUUUGGGUCUUGUAAUUGGAAUGAGUACAAUUUAAAUCCCUUAACGAGGAACAAUUGGAGGGCAAGUCUGGUGCCAGCAGCCGCGGUAAUUCCAGCUCCAAUAGCGUAUAUUAAAGUUGUUGCAGUUAAAAAGCUCGUAGUUGAACCUUGGGCCUGGCUGGNCGGGNCCGCCU